AUCUUUCUAGUACUAACUCAGUAUAGGUGACUUCCAAUUACACGGUCUUGGUUAAAAUCCAAGGAAAGAUA
rnacentral:tRNA from 2 species